CUCCCAUGGUGCUCCUGGGCCUCCCAUGGUGCUCCUGGGCCUCCCAUGGUGCUCCUUUGCAAACAUGCAAACACUCUGUCCAGGCUCUGGUGGAGGGAGGGGCCCCCUGCCUGUCUGCCUGAGCUGAGGUGGUCUGUUUAUGCUUCAGCCUUUCCAGGGCCCCUAGCCUGCCAUAUUCAGACUGAUCUUGUCCCAUCAGUCCAUGGGGUCCCCAGCCUUCAGGCCGUGGACUUGAGACUUCCCAGCCUCCACAAGCACUCGAGCCAAUUCCUUAUCAUGAGUCAGUUUGUUGCCUAACACACACACACACACACACACACACACACACACACACGCACGCACGCACGCACAUGCACGCACGCGCACACAUACACCCUGCUGCCUCUGUUUCUCUAGAGUACUGGAAGACCCAGCCUUGCUCAGUCAGUCCUGCCCCUGCCAGGCUCCUAUGCCAGUUGCCCUGGUGGCCAUCCCGAUGUGUCUCCUGCUCACCUCAGCCUGUUGGUGUCUCAGGCACACUCCUGACAACACUCUCAGGCCUCCAACCAUGUUGCUUUGGUUAGUCCCCCUCCCCACGAUUCUAUGCUACCCCCCUGCCUCUCGGACAACAGCAGAGUCAACCAUGAGAGGGAGCGAGGCCAAGCUGGCCAAGGGGAGCCCCGACCAGUGGUGUGGCCAGCAUGCCUAUUAGAUGCUCAUCCUCGCCCAGUGGCCGAGGCUGGACAGAAUUCACCUGCUGCUGCACACACCCAGACCCCUCCAGCAUCAGCAGCGUCCAGGAAGCUGGUGACCCCUACAAGCCCGCGGCAGACUCCCUGUUUGUGAAUUUGGCCUGGGAAGAUGCUGUGACCUCCACGGCCUCUGAGGAGUAGCCGGGUCCCAUAGAGAGGACGACAUGGACUGUGUUCCCUCACUCCUCCUCAUUCUCCAUCCUGGGAGCACGGCCAAGAACCCUGACGUGAGCCCCAUCAGAGCUGGGGGUCUCCCCGCACUCUAGGAGCUGCUUAGCACCAGGCUGACAUAUCUUUGAUGGGGCAUCAUAUACAGGAAGCAGCUUGACCCCUGAAGGCCCCUCUUAGCGUGGGAUUGACACCAAGCAUUGACUUUGCUUCAGGCUUAUCCACAAAUCUCAGCCAAUUUUUAUUAAAGAGCCGCGUGUGGUGUGGAA